AGACAGGCAACGUGACAAACGCUGGGGUACCGCGUGGCUUGAGAAUAAAUAUAAAACCUUCUAUCACGUGACUUUUCAGGUCACGUGCAGCAAAAAACCCAGUGCAAAUUUUCCUUAGGUAGACAAAAUUUUCUUAAAAAAAAUCGAGACGAUGGAACCGAGAACCAAUUCUUACAUAAAUACAUGGUAACAGCCGCCAUAAGCUCUCAAAAUAAUCGUUCAUUUGAUUCUACGACAGUAAGAAAUGAUUUCUUUCUUUGCCUGAAGUCAAAACCGGUCAAAACUCAAAAGCAAAACACCAUGGUCAUUGUUUGCGAUGUCUGAGUGGCUUUGCUUUUUAAAGAAUAGGUCCGCGCGUACACAUAGGUAACAGGAAAAUAAUGGUAGUUACUUUAUCCUUAGAUAUGAUUAUCUAUGCUUAACUGAGCAAGUAAUGUAUUAAUUUUCUCAGUGAACUCGCCAUUAAAUGCCUAUGUGAACAAAGAUUGUAAUGAAUUUCAGGUAAAGACUUUUUAACCCGUAUUUCACGACGCGAAAAUGCCGUUGCGGUAGCGUAUUCGGGUUUAACGUUUCUCGAGCCAAGGAAUUCAUUGGCGCCGCUGGUAUGGGUGAUGCUCUUCGUACUUUUGUGAGAGAAUCAAUGAUUGAGUUGAGUUUAAAGAACCAGCAGAGUUUUGGCACGCAUAUAAAACAUAACUACCUUGCCAAUGACCUUCGUUUUGCACUUUUCAAAGGUUGCUACUGUAAUCCCAUAUGAUAUAUUUUGUAUUGUUUCUCAACUGACCAGAAUGAAUAAAUUUCUCUGGCUUUUCAUAUUAAAAACGUAAUUACUCCUCCCUAUCCGAAUCACAUCGACUCAUUGAUGAACAAAGAUGUUGUUGAGGUCACAAAAAAUUGCACUGACAAUGAGCAAGUGAAAGAAGUGAGCGAAGAAAAUGCAGUUGAAACAAUGAUUGACGGUUUACAAAAUGUUGAGCGCAACAAUAUUUUUAUUUAGAACGAUCCUCUUGUGAACUCUACAAACGAUCAAACCGUGCUUGUUGAAGUAAGUGGAGAGGUUAAAGACAUCGUCCAGGACAGUGCACGGCAGGAAUUUUUGGAAGAAAAAAAGAAAAAAGAUCUAGAAGGAGAAAAACAUGCGUGCUCGAAGAUUCUUUAAGAAAGUACUACACGCCUAAAUACCCAAGAAGAAAAAAGUAAAUCGCAACCAUUUGUGGAGUCGUUCAUUCAUCUGGGUUCCUGCUUUAAAUGGUAUAUCACUGCAACAACCUUUCCUGAUAUGCACACGCAAUUUUCUUAUUGAGUCCAUAGAUACUGUAAAAAUAACUAAGACAACAGUUCUAAAAACAAAUCUCUAAAGAACGAAAAACAUGGGAAAAUAAUUUAUUCAAAUACUUAUUAAGAUUUCUGUAAUGUUAUUAAAAAAAUCACACAGAUUUAA